rnacentral:lncRNA from 1 species
UCAGCGUGGACAAGUCAGAGAAAAGUCCCCGGAGAGACCCCACACUCCUGUCAUUCUUAAACAGGAGCCUUCUGUCCUAACGAGGCCAGGCCGGGCUGUAGCUUGUGCGCCACACGCAGAUGUUGUAGACCCAGACAGCAAAACAAGGUCUGCCUUCAAGAAAACUGUUUUGUCAUAGCCCUGGGUUUUACCAGAGCCCAGCUGACCAGGGAGGAGGGAAAUAUCCACUUCCAGACCCCUGUAGCCAUCUUUUCCCACCUAAGGCAGAGGACCACAUUGAGAAGCACUGGUGAGGUUCACAGGGACACAGGCUCACCAGAGACUGAGACCCAGUCAUAGGGCAGCAGAUAUCGCCUCCCCCAAAUCCUUACCACAUCCCUGAAGGCCUAUUUCCUGUGCAAAAUGAGGCAGCAUUAGAUCCAGGCUCAGAUAUAACAGGGUGUUAGAAUUAGCAGACCAGGAAUAUUUACAAACUAUGGUGGGUAUGCUGCUAUGGUUUGGACAAGUGUCCCCCUGUGACAAAGGUUUGGGCCCCAGGGCAUUGGGGGUGGUAGAAUCUUUGAGAGGUAGGCCCCCCGAGGAAGUUCUUAGGUCACUGGGCUAUGCCCCUGAAAUGGGUUGUAGGAGCCCAGUCUCAGUCUUUCUCUGCUUCCUGGCUCACGAUGCAAGUGGUUUGCUUUGC